GGGGAUUUAGCUCAGUGGUAGAGCGCUUGCCUCCCAAGCGCAAGGCCCUGGGUUCGGUCCCCAGCUCCG
rnacentral:tRNA from 1 species